CAGCUGCACCAUGUAGGACCUUAAAACGAAUGAUGUUUUUAUUAUUUUUGGUGCUAACACCACUUUGGUUCACUUGUUUUUUUAUGUGAUAACUGGGUGGUACGCAGAACAUAUAUAGGGCAAAGAAUAGAUUCCAGUCAAAGGAGACAUUUAUUUCUCGCCCACAUAUAUAUAAAGAUGUCGUACAUGCAUUUUUUUGAGCAUGGUAUUCUUUCAGCACUGAAAAAUACUUGGGAGUGCAUUUAUCAACAUCAAUUUUGUCAGUCGUCACUUUCUACGUGACCUAACGUCUUUCUGUUUCCCUCCUUUGCUCAUUCAUCGCCGCACUUUUUGUUUGUUUAAACUUUGUUCAUUACGACCCACCGGCUUCAGGAGGCACUUUGAUGAAGGAAAACAUGAAUGCAGAACAAUGGUCAUGGAAGGCAGCUCGGCUACAUGGUUCCAGCUCAUUAGACGUGAUUAAUCGGCAUGCAAGCUUUCCCAUGGUCCCCUUCGACUGGGGGAGACAGAGCUCACCUUGGAGGGCACGGGGAGUCCAGGCUGCUCCAGCACUGUUCUCCAUGUGUCAUAACAGGUGGUGAGAACGUCUGCAGUUGGCGGCCAUUUGUCCUGACGAAAUUAAAGCUGAAGUCCGAUGGCCACUUGAAGCACUGGAAGAACCUGUGAAGCAAUGCUGUGCACAAUGGGUGUUACAAAGCAGAGGAAGCUGGAGUCAAAGAAGGAAGGAUGCCCUCUUAAAAACCAGGAAAUGAGACUCCAGGAUGCCAACUGCUUACCACCGAGGAUCGGGUUUAGAUGGUGAGAUAUACUUCACUCUAUUUAACCUUUAGUAGAGGCAACCCCAUCUUCAUUACACAUAACAAACCAAAGAAAACCAGGCCCUAAAAUAUUUUUUCAAAUAGAUGCUCGUCAUGUUGUGCUACAGGUUAUAACAGGUGUGUUUUUAUUUGUAUCAUAUUGUUUCUCAGACAACAUGACGUCUCCUUUGUGAGUCAUAAACUGCUGCUGUG